AAUCUCAUUGACUGGAAGGGAUUCCUUCCGGUCAAUGAGGUAUAAGAACCUCAUCAAUCGGAAGGGAUUCCUUUUGAUUGAUGAGGUUGUUACAUCUCAUUGACCGGAAGGAAUCCCUUCCAGUCAAUGAGAUU
rnacentral:miRNA from 1 species